CAGUGUUCGUGUUUUCAUUUUGUUGGCGGCAUCUGGCACCCAACGUGGGGCCCAACGAAACUGAAAGAGUAAGCACCCUGGAAAAGUGAAAGGGGGACUUUCAGGAAUAGGUAAAUCUCGAUGCAGGGCUCGACGAGACCGAAAGGUUGUUCUACAUCGCUCCCGUCGACUAGUGGGAUUGAUCAUCGCGACUAUCCUUGCGGUUGCAUCCGUUACUGUGAUGGCAGCAUCUGGCACCCAACGUGGGGCCCAACGAAACUGAAAGGUCUUCCGGCGCUGGAGAAAGCAACAACAACUAAAAAGGAUCGUUAAGACCGUUGCGCAUGCUGUCCGUCACAAUGCUAACAAAAGAGGGGGAGAUGAAGGAGACCUGGCAUGAAAUGUGGUUGUGCUUGCACGCGAGGCAUCCACAAGACUGGCUGGACUUUUCUGCAAACAGAAUGUUCUGCCUGGUGAACUCACAAGGCCCCAGGGAAAACAUUGCUUGCAAACAAGGAUGUUUUAUCAGUUCCUCAAAAGGAACAAGCCUGGGGCCUUGGGAGUUUGAAACAUUAUGAAGGAACCUGUUAUAAACAGAUGUGUAAGGGAAAGGUCAUUAUUGUGGGACGCUUGCGCAGGCUUAGGUGGCUGACUCACUGCUUUGGCAAAAGGCUGGCUUUGUUUAGAGGCUAUAAGAAUAAAGAGCU